GGUCCUAUAGUGUAGCUUGGUUAUCACUUUCGGUUUUGAUUGUCACUAUCAAACUUCCGAACAACAUCAGUUCGAAUCUGGUUAGGACCU